GACGAACGCUGGCGGCGUGCUUAACACAUGCCAGUCGAACGGAAAGGCCUGCUUUCCCUUAUGGAUUGCGGGUACUCGAGUGGCGAACGGGUGAGUAACACGUGAGUGAUCUGCCCCCAACUUGGGUAUAAGCCUGGGAAACUGGGUCUAAUUCCCGAUAGGACUGCAGGGUGGUGCCUGUGGUGGAAAACGAUUUUCUAGUGGUUGGGGAUGAGCUCGCGGCCUAUCAGCUUGUUGGUGGGGUAAUGGCCUACCAAGGCGGCGACGGGUAGCCGGCCUGAGAGGGUGGACGGCCACAUUGGGACUGAGAUACGGCCCAGACUCCUACGGGAGGCAGCAGUGGGGAAUAUUGCACAAUGGGCGGAAGCCUGAUGCAGCGACGCCGCGUGGGGGAUGACGGCCUUCGGGUGGUAAACUCCUUUCGACCGCGAGGAAGCCACCUGGUUGGAAGGGUGGUGACGGUAGUGGUAGAAGAAGCACCGGCUAACUACGUG
rnacentral:rRNA from 1 species